GGACUCGUAUAAUUUGAGCGUUGGGUGAGAUCUGAAGCUGAGCGGUUUCGGGUUACAUCCCCGCUGAAGCUGAAGCUUCGAAUAAUGAACACCACGAAGACCUAGACGAUCCUGAAGCUCUUAACAUCAACAUCUUGCAUUUCACGCUAUUGGGAUUAUGGUUGUUUUAACUGACGUUGGGCGCCUGCAUUUAUCAAACUAGGUGUUCUUUGAGUGACUGAGAAUCAAUGGAUUCCCGUUGGUCAUCCAACAGCAAUGUGCCCAUUUCUUCCCUAUUCAGCCAACACGUUCCGAGGGAGAAGUGUAUUGACCAUCCACGCCUCAUCGAUAUACAAUAUUUCAUUUCUUGCUCUUUUGUAGCAAUCCAAAGCCUUCAGGAAACAUUCCCUCUCCAGGUUACGAUGUUGGAUUGUUUUAUUAAUGAAGGACGGCGAGCGGUGAAGGACACUAACAAAGUAUUAAGGGCAGCAGCGGGACGAAUGGGUGUGCGAUCUUACUUCUAAGAGAAU